rnacentral:rRNA from 1 species
GACGAACGCUGGCGGCGUGCUUAACACAUGCAAGUCGAACGGAAAGGCCCUGCUUUUGUGGGGUGCUCGAGUGGCGAACGGGUGAGUAACACGUGAGUAACCUGCCCUUGACUUUGGGAUAACUUCAGGAAACUGGGGCUAAUACCGGAUAGGAGCUCCUGCUGCAUGGUGGGGGUUGGAAAGUUUCGGCGGUUGGGGAUGGACUCGCGGCUUAUCAGCUUGUUGGUGGGGUAGUGGCUUACCAAGGCUUUGACGGGUAGCCGGCCUGAGAGGGUGACCGGCAACAGUGGGACUGAGAUACGGCCCAGACUCCUACGGGAGGCAGCAGUGGGGAAUAUUGCACAAUGGGCGGAAGCCUGAUGCAGCAACGCCGCGUGCGGGAUGACGGCCUUCGGGUUGUAAACCGCUUUCGCCUGUGACGAAGCGGGAGUGACGGUAAUGGGUAAAGAAGCACCGGCUAACUAC